AGUAUCUGAUGACGAAACCUCGACCACUCUUAGGACACCUUUGGACACAUUGUUAGCACUGUGAGUGAGAAGUACAUUCUUUUCAGAUGAUAUU
rfam:Zea mays cultivar B73 chromosome 7, whole genome shotgun sequence.